GUAUUGAUUGCGGGUUAGCGCAUAAAUGAGGUCAUUCUACACUUUUUAAAAGGGGUGUUUGUGUGAAAACGCGAGCCCCCUCCGAGAUGAUCCCAAAGGGUGCCCACGCGGUGAUGCACAAAGGGUGAGAUGGAUUAUGUGUGAGAGCACCAAGGUGUGCACGACCUUUUCAAAAGUCAGCGACAACCCCAGCACCUCCAUUGUAUGAUAAUGAUCCUUCCGCAGGUUCACCUACGGAAA
rnacentral:misc_RNA from 1 species